rnacentral:rRNA from 1 species
GGCCCACCAAGCCGACGAUCAGUAGCCGGACUGAGAGGUUGAACGGCCACAUUGGGACUGAGACACGGCCCAGACUCCUACGGGAGGCAGCAGUGGGGAAUAUUGCACAAUGGGCGAAAGCCUGAUGCAGCGAUGCCGCGUGAGGGAAGAAGGUUUUAGGAUUGUAAACCUCUGUCUUCGGGGACGAUAAUGACGGUACCCGAGGAGGAAGCUCCGGCUAACUACGUGCCAGCAGCCGCGGUAAUACGUAGGGAGCGAGCGUUGUCCG